rnacentral:rRNA from 1 species
UACGGAGGUGGCGAGCGUUACUCGGUUUGACUGGGUGUAAAGGGUCCGCAGGCGGUUUGAUAAGUAGAAAGUGAAAUCCUUCGGCUUAACCGGAGAACUGCUUUCUAAACUAUCAUACUGGAGGAUGGAAGAGGAAAACGGAACUGUCAGUGUAAGGGUGAAAUCUGUGGAUAUUGACAGGAACGUCAGUGGAGAAGUCGGUUUUCUGGUCCAUUCCUGACGCUCAGGGACGAAAGCUAGGGGAGCAAACAGAAUUAGAUACUCUGGUAGUCCUAGCCGUAAACUAUGGGCACUAGGUGUUCGGCCGCAAGGCUGGGUGCCGCAGCUAACGCGUUAAGUGCCCCACCUGGGGACUACGGCCGCAAGGCUAAA